rnacentral:lncRNA from 1 species
UGGCCAGCUCCACCAGACAAGAUGGGCAGAAGGCAGCACUGCCCCAAGGUGGCACUGCCAGGGACUUCCAUCCCCCUCCAGCCGCCAGAGUGACUGAGGACCAUGGAGAUUGAGAGCCCCAGGAAACACUCCUUACCUGGGCUUUCACAGCCCGAGAGACCACCAGGAUGAACCCCACACACAGCUGCCACCAGGAACCACAGCCCCGGAUCAGGACAGUGAAUUUAGAUAAGAUGCUCUGGAAGGAAC